GAGCGGUCCAAGUAAAAUCCAUGUCUCACACUGUUUAACAUCCAAAAGUCAUUAUUGCUUCAUCCAUCACUGAUC